rnacentral:rRNA from 1 species
ACAAGCGGUGGAUGAUGUGGUUUAAUUCGAUGCAACGCGAAAACCUUACCCACCUUUGACAUGUACGGAAUCCUUUAGAGAUAGAGGAGUGCUCGAAAGAGAGCCGUAACACAGGUGCUGCAUGGCUGUCGUCAGCUCGUGUCGUGAGAUGUUGGGUUAAGUCCCGCAACGAGCGCAACCCUUGCCAUUAGUUGGCUACGAAAGGGCACUCUAAUGGGACUGCCGGUGACAAACCGGAGGAAGGUGGGGAUGACGUCAAGUCCUCAUGGCCCUUAUAGGUGGGCUACACACGUCAUACAAUGGCCGGUACAGAGGGUAGCCAACCCGCGAGGGGAGCCAAUCCCACAAAGCCGGUCGUAGUCCGGAUCGCAGUCUGCAACUCGACUGCGUGAAGUCGGAAUCGCUAGUAAUCGCGGAUCAGCAUGUCGCGGUGAAUACGUUCCCGGGUCUU